GCUAGAUUUUACUACUGUAAAUUAACUACGGUAUAUAGACUAUUAUAAAAUAUGGUUCAAUGAAUUAAAUUUCGUACUAUUCUGUCUUAUUUCUGUACUCAACGGAAUAGUAGAUUCGGUGGUUCGUAUUAUUACACAGUGCUCAAAAUUUAGGUGAUCCCAAUCCAAUCUAACAGCCGCAAAGCACCCCAAAUGCCCAGGCACACAAUACAACCAGACACCCGCGAGGCCAUUUUUUUCAGUGUUUAAAACCAAUAAAAAGAACUUUCAAAUGACUCAAAAUGUAC